AAACUCGGUGGUUAACAACCAAGCUCGGUCAAAAACAAACCCGAUCGAGACCCAGCUUCAGCGGAUCUCAAAAUAACAACCAAACUCCAAUCUUCGUUGCCACCAGCGAUCUCCUAUCACCCUUCUUCCUUCCGUUUUGUGGUAAACCUUAUCUUCUCUCACCAAUGUUGAUUUUUACACUGUAUUGUUCUGUUUUGGUUCUCAAUUCAUUAAUUUUGGUAUUCUUUAAUUAAUGUUUGGUCACUUUCUUUUGCAUUUUUUUACAUAUAACUUUCUACGAAUUUCAAACAGCAAUAAAUGUUUCACAUUCUAUUUUCUUAAUUAUAUAUAUUUUGUGCUUAGUUUUUUUUAAUAUUUAGUUAACGGCAUGAUAUUGGUUGUUUCCCUUGGUACAUUUAUGAUAUCUAUUGUAGUUUAUAAUAAUUUUCAUUUUGGCCCUCAUUUAGUUUGGUGCAACUCCAUCUUUGUAGUCCUGAAUUAUUUUACUUUCCAUUAUUGUUGAUGUAAAAUUGAUUCUAAUCAUUAAGUCGGCAAUUGCUACUUGUUCAAGUUUUAGUUUGCUUAUUUUCUUUUAUAUAAUUCAUCUCCGUCUAAUUUCCCAUUGUUAGUCUUAUAAAUGGUUAUCAUGUUAAUUGGACAAUGAAAAAUCUCUUCGUUGGGUUUAGAGGCCUUUCCAUUUUAAAAAAUGAAAAUUUAAUUUAAGUUUAUAUAUUUUAUAUGUUAGAAUUGGCCAAUUAGAAAAUCUCUCCAUCGGUUUUGGAGACCUACCAAAUAUUAAAAACGGAAUUUUUUAGUGUAAGUUCAUAUAACUUAAUUGUUAAUAUUAUUAAAAUGGCAAAUGAGAAAAUUCUCCGUCAAUUUUGGAGGCCUUCCCAAUAUUAAAAGACGAAUAUUUUUAGUGUAAGUUCAUAUAACUUGUUCGGUAAAAUUAUUAAAAUGGCCAAUGAAUAAGACUGUCCGUCGGUUUUGGAGGUCUUUCCAUGUUAGAAGACAAAAAUUUAAUUUAUGCUUAUAUAUUUUAUAUGUUAAAUUUGGUCGAUGAAGAAAUUAACGUCGAUUUCAAAGGCCUCUUAUAUUAAUAAGUUGGUUUUUUUAUUUUUAUGUUAUUAUUUCUUAUAUUCAAUUUUAUUUAUUACUAACACUUUUAUUAAGUGUGUUUAUAUGUAACCAAGACUUGCUUCCUUGAAGCUAUUCGAAAGGAGUUCGAAUUAUUAUUUUUUAAUUCAUUAUUUAGUGUAUAUCGAUGUUAGGCAAACCUUAGGCCGAUAUUAUUAUUUUAUUUUUAUUGUGUCUAUUGUAUGUUUAUUAUAUUUUUACAUUAUUUUAUUUUCCUCAAUUUGAAAAAAAUGAACUCAGUCGGGAACCACAAUUGUGUAUUUCGAGGGGUUUCUAACCCUUUCCCUUUGAAAUAACUUGUACCCCUUUUCUAGAAUCAAAUUGAUUUCGUAGACAUUUCUUUCGAGUUAAUUAAAUAACUGAUUUCCUAGUUUCCCACUAAAAUAGGUGGUGACUCCAUUUUUCCCUUUAAACUCAUUUUACCUCUUUUCCCUCUCUAACCCCCUUUUACCCGUUUUAAAUUUUUUAAACUAUAAAUUCAUUUUUUUAAUUGAGUCACCGCGACAUUGCUCCUAUCAAAGGAUGUCUACAGGUGGUAGCAUCAUCUCAUGACUAUCAAAGGAUGUCAACAGGUGGUAGCAUCAUCUCAUGAGACUUACACGUGCCAGCACAAGCUCAUAGAUAGUCAAUCGGUGCUUUUCUAUCUUUCAUUAUCUUAUUAUCUAUUAGAGUUGACACAAACAUUAUGGAAACUUGCUUCUAAAUUGAGGUUCACUUACUCUAUUGAUGACUUGUCAUCCCUUUCUCUACAUUGAUGCAUUGUGAAUUAAUUUUAUAUAACAUCUUUGGUGUUAAUGAGGCUUGCCUCACACGUUCUAACACCCUUUUUAGUGAGUAUAUUAACAUAGUAACUUAGGUAAGUAAGACUUGUCUCACUUCCUUUUAACACCUUAUUUUGGUCACUUUCUUAACAUAGAAACUUUUAAUUAUGUUAGUACUCACUUUACUUGCUUACGUUCAUUUGGUAACUUCAUAUCACCGUUUAUGGACGAUGAGAACUUCAUUCAAUGAAAUACUUAUGUACAUAGUUUAUUUGGUUAGGGCAUGUUGCGACUUGUCCCAAUGAUAUAUAUACGCUUGGUUAUGAACUUAAAGUUACAUUGGUCAUGCUUAAAUUAGUUUAACUUAGUCAUUAGCCAAUUUUUCAUCAUAUCUUUGAAAUAACAUUUAAAGCCAAUUUAUUGGCAUAAACUAAACUUUCACUAAACACUGGACAUGAGAAUAUCAUUAGCCAAUCCAAUUAAUUCCAUGUACAUAUAUAAUAAUCUCAUCAUGUUAACAAGCCAACCUUAAUGCUAUUAUGAUGACAAGUUCGUGUGGAUAGUGUAUGUUGGGACAAGUUUGUGUUCAUUGAGUUACAUAUUUUCAAGUCAAUCUUUAAUAUAUAUUUGGCCUCACAAAAGACAUCAUAAUUUACAUUGACCAUAUAGGAUUGGUUUGACAUAAUAUUGUCUAAUUCUAUUACAUAUUUUGGGAAUAAUGUUAUUGACCAAUUUAUUAAUAAAUAAAACUAUGAUAUUAUGAAUAGCCAAACUUUCUGAAAUUUUGAAGAUAACUUUGUAAGCCAAUUAUGUUAGACAAUUUGGGGAAUAUAUUACUAGCCAAUUUAUUGUCAUAAGCCAAACUUUCACAUAUUGUGGUAUUCUCAACCGUUAUUUGUCGUAAGCCAACCUUUUUACAUUUAAUGAAAUUAUAACUAUCAUUCAAUGAACAUAUUAUUCAUAAAAAACUCAACUUCAUCGUUCUCGAACACAAAACUAAGCAUUAUGUCAUUCCUUAAUCCGUGUAACUAAUCACUCAAUCAUUCGAAUCCAAUCUAUGGCCUCAUUAAUCAUUAAAAAAUCAAGAAACAUACAUAUAAUAAUCAUUUAGAACCAAAUACCAACAACAUGUUCGAUAUUUACAUAUACAUACUUAUUAUAAUCGAAAACAAGGAUAACUAGGGAGAUGGACGGUUAAUAAUAUCACUGGGAACAACCCUAGUUUCGUAAUUCAUGAUUUCAAAACUUUUGAAAAGACUCUUGGAGAAUUACUUCCAUGAUAGAAAACCCAUAUCUUCUUUAGAUGUUAAUCUACAAAGACAACCUGCACGAAACCUUGAAGAAAUCCUUAAAAUCGCCCAAGAGAUUUUAUGUUUUUUCUCUCGCCUUGCUUACUGCCUUUGAAUCACUUUUAUAAGUUAAUAGUUGUGAUUUUUUAGGUAUUAGAACUGAUCUUGACUCAUUCACCUUAGGUUUAAUAAGUUAAUUUAAUAAUUAAUUAGUUAAUUACUAAGAAGUCCCUCCUAGAUUGGCUAAAAAUAGAAAACAUAACACUUAGUCAAGUCUAAAAUUUUUUCAUAAGGAUUUCAUUUUGACAAUUUAAAUUGAUUCAUUAAAUUUAUAAUUUAAUUAAUUAAGGGACCUAGGUUAAUUACUAAAGUAACCCUAAGUCACUGGAACCAUUAUCAACCCUUUUGGACCAGCCUAGGUUAAUUAAUAAGAUAUUUCUUGAACUAGUUACUGAGCUAGUGUAAGUAUUCCGCUUUGACCAUUUAAAUUAAUUAAUUUUAAUAACUAAUUUAAUUAAUUAGGUGACAUAGGGUAAUUAAUAAUGUAUCCUUAAGUCGUUAGGACCAUAAUUAACCCUUUGAACCAUCAUAGGCUAGGUACUUGGUUGUUUUUUUCUACUCUUAAUCGAUAUCUCAAAAUUGCUUUGUGAUUUUUGUUUUUUCAUUUUAAAUUAAUUAAUUAAGAUGUUAAAUUAAUUAAUUAUAUAACCUAGGAUAAUUAAUAAAUUAUCCCUAAGUUGUUAAGACCAUAAUUAACUCAUUGGACAAUCCUAGGUUAGGUAUUUUUUUGCUUGCCUUAGCCGAAAUCAGGAAAUUGAUUUGUGGUUUAGUUUUGUCCAUUUAAAUUAAUUAAUUAAGAUUCUAAAUUAAUUAAAUAAGUAACCUAGGGUAAUUAAUAAAGUAUCCCUAAGUUGUUAGGACCAUAACCAACCUUUUGGACCAUCCUAGGUUAGGUACUAGAAUGUCUUUUUAACUAGUUACUAGGUUAGUGUCACCCGGUUAUGUCAUAGGUUGUCGGGUGCAUUGAUUAUUUUUUUUUUCCGGUUGGUAUUAGGUUAUUUAGGUAUUUUGGACAGUUGGUUAGAGUGUAGAGUUUGUUAGAAAGUAAGGCCCCACAUGGAAGGACACUUGUACACGCCUGCCCCCUAACUACCAUAACAGAAUUCGGUUAGGGUAGUCCCCUCUUUUGGCUGCUUGUUCUCAUGUAUUACACAUGUGUUGGCUGUACUUCAUCAACAUGUUUUUGGAAACUGCUUAAUCAACAUGAUAAUUUUAAAUGAUCAGGUGUUGUGGUACCUAGACUUGACACUUGGAUACCUAGUACAUAAUGUGCAAAUAUUAUGAAGAGAAUAUUUAUAGCAUAGAUUUUUCCUUGGAUGUAUAUUUUUGGACAAUCAAUCUUGGAUUGGGUAGGACAACCCAAAACGUAUUUACUUAGUCAUACAUAGAAAACGUUUCAUUGUUGAUAUUUGUCCCUACCAAUUUUGUGGACUAUUUUAAAGUUUAAAUUUCAUUUUUGAUAGUCAUACCCUUCAAAAUGAUAUCUUUUUAUUUUUGGUAGUCAUACAUUUCAAAAUGACAUUUUUUAUUUUUGUGUCGUUAUAUCCUUCGAAAUGACAUCUUUGUUUUUGGGUCGUCAUAUCCUUCAAAAUGACAUUUUUAUGGGAUCAUUAUACUCUUCAAAAUGACAUUUUCUUAAAUUUGGGUGUUCAUACCUUUCAACAUGACAUUUUUAGAAAAUUUAUAUCAUCACACCUUUCAAAAAAUUAUCUUCUAAAAAUUUAUUUGUUAUCUAAAAUAAAAUAAUUUAUUUCAGAUUGGUUUGUCAUGCCGUUCAAUAUGACACUUUUUAUUUUGUUUUCUAUUUUAAAUUGAUUUUUUAUUAAGUUCAAACUACCCCGGCAGUUAAUUACCUUGUCCAGAUUAGGCCAUGGUUGCAUAUUUUAUGUUGCUUUUAUAUUAUAUUUGCUACUUACAUUGUUAUUGUAGAUUUUGUGAUACACCAUUCAUAUUAAGUUAAAGAUUAGGUUGUCAUCACGCACGUAAGUUAAAAAUUGGGUUGUCAUCUACCUUCAAAUGACAUAGUAUGUUCAAGUUGGGUCGUUCACCUUUCAAAUAGACAAGAUUGAGUUGUCAUCUCCCUUCAAAUGACAUAUUGAGUUCAAGUUGGGUUGUCCGCCUUUCAAAAAGACAUGUUGGCUUGUCAUCUCUAUUUAAAUGACACAUUAAGUUCAAUAUUGAGUUGUCAUCUCCCUUCAAAUGACACUUUAUGUUCAAUAUUGAGUUGUCAUCUCCCUUCAAAUGACACUUUAAGUUCAAUAUUGGGUUAUCAUCUCCCUUCAGAUGACACAUUAAGUUAAAGAUUCGGUUGUCAUCUCCCUUCAAAUGAUACGUUAAGUUCAAUAUUGGAUUGUCACCUCGUUCAAAGGGACAAAUUGUGUUCAAAUUUGGUUGUUCUCCUUUAAAAAAGACACGUUGAAUUGUCACAUCAUUCAAAGUGACAUGUUAUGUUCAAAUUGGGUUGUCCGCCUUUCAAAGAGACGUGUUUGGUUUUCACCUCGUUCAAAGUGACAUGUUAUGCUUAAAUUGGAUUGUCUGUCCUUCAAAGAGACAUGUUGGGUUGUCACCUCAUUCAAAGUGACAUGUUAUUUUAUAGUUGGGUCGUCCGUCUUUCAAAGAGACAUGUUGGGUCGUCACAUCCUUCAAGUGACACUUUAAGUUCAAGAUUGAGUUGUCAUUUCCCUUCAAAUGACAUAUUAAGUUCAAGUUAGGUCAUCCGCCUUUAAAAGAGACAAGUUGGAUUGUCACCUCGUUCAAUGUAACAUGUUAAGUUCAAGUUGGGUCGUCCGCCUUUCAAAGAAACACGUUGGGUUGUAACCUCGUUCAAAGUAAUAUGUUAUUCACAUCCUCCUUCUCUUAAAAAGGUACACCACCUUCAUUGUGCAAUUUUUCAUGUAACAUCAAAGGUAUGCGAAUUUUCUUAGUUUACAAUCAAUCUCCAUCUUUUGUUUAUUAUUUUUAGCCCAAUUGACAGAUGUGUAGUCUUGGUCAAAAGCUCUACUAACGUCUCAAUUGUUCUGUUCAAUGUUUAUCAAACAAAAUUAGGAUUCGUCAACUUUGUUUGACUAGGAUCUCUUUCAUCGAUCCAAAUUAAACAAAAGGGCAAGUUGUUGACACCAAAUUUUUGUCUGAUAGUUUUAAAAUUAGUAUAUUUUUACUAUUUUAUUUUAAAUAAUUCAAAAUACAUGUUUUGUUUAUUUUAAUAAAAUUUGUUGAUAAUCAUCAAUUUUCUCAAAGUGUUGUGAUUGUGGUUGAUUAUUAUGUUUAUAUUAGUUUGUCACUUCUAGACGUUGAAAUAUUUGUGCAUUUUUUAUAAUAUAAUUAUUUCUGUUAAAUUACAUUUUUUUUUACAGAUGAUUGAUUUUGCUUAUUACAUCUCUUAUUCAUUAUUUCUUUGUUACACUUUUAAUAUUCAUUUUAAUAUUCUGCAUGGUCUAAAGAUAUAUUCAAUCUUUGAAUACAAUUUACAUUCAUACAUAUUUUAUCAAUCAACAAGUCUUGAUUCAUGAUAUCAAGUACACAAUUUAGGCCAAUAUUUUUCAAUAUCCCUAUAUAUGUAAUAGUUGGUCCAUUAGGUUUUAGGGAGUUGGAAAAUUUUUAGAAUUUGAACUGUAAUUUUUAGAUAUUUUUACUUUGAUCUUUGUACACUGUUCAUCAUCUCCGGCGAACUUUCUUCGGAGCUCCGACCAGCCACCAUCCAGAAGAAUACUAGUAAUCUCUUUCCUCUCUUCUCUUCUCACUGACCACCAUUCCCUCAACCUCCUUCCUCCAAAAAAACUCAGCAGCUCACUACCUCCUUUCAUCACUCCGACGAAACGUAACAAGAAAACAACCAACUGUCCAUUUCCAGUUUUCUUCUCCUUCCCUUGCUUCUCCACCAGAUAUCGAUCUAAAAACCCAUUUCUGUUUUACCUUUUGGCUCGCUGAAACAGGUAGCUCCGGCCAGGAUCUUCAAGCCUCAGUGAACCGGAGCAAGAACAAUCGCUAGCGUUUUUCCUUCCCCUUUCCCCUUUAUCGCUUUACUUUUUUUUUUUCUUUCAGCCGCUCAGACAGGCAACAACCAGACCUCCUCCCUCCGCCAUUUCCAUUGAAAUCGUAACCUCAGCCUGGAGAACGAGUUCAAAGAUCCAGCAAACUCGGUGGUUAACAACCAAGCUCGGUCAAAAACAAACCCGAUCGAGACCCAGCUUCAGCGGAUCUCAAAAUAACAACCAAACUCCAAUCUUCGUUGCCACCAGCGAUCUCCUAUCACCCUUCUUCCUUCCGUUUUGUGGUAAACCUUAUCUUCUCUCACCAAUGUUGAUUUUUACACUGUAUUGUUCUGUUUUGGUUCUCAAUUCAUCAAUUUUGGUAUUCUUUAAUUAAUGUUUGGUCACUUUCUUUUGCAUUUUUUUACAUAUAACUUUCUACGAAUUUCA
rnacentral:lncRNA from 1 species